AUGGCUGCAAACCAUUUGCAUCUGCUGUUGUGCUUAGCACUAGCCAUGCUUGUUUCCCUCGACUUCUCAUGCGCACAAACGGGCAUCACAUCUGGGUCCUCCCUGAAGGCCGCCGCGGGCGCCGGCUGGUCGUCCCCGUCCGGCCGCUUCUCCUUCGGCUUCUACGCCACGGAAGGCGGCCUCGCGGUCGGCGUCUGGCUCACCACCACGCCCAACGUAACCAUCACGUGGACCGCGAACCGCAACGACACGGCAACGGGCGGCGCGCUAAGGCUCGCCGACGACGGUCGUCUCCUCUGGACCGGCGCGGACGACCACGACAGGACCGUCGCGCAGCCGUCAAGGCCGGCCGUGGCGGGCGCCAUGCGCGAUGACGGCAACUUUGUGCUGUUCGGCGCCGAUGGCGCGGUGGUGUGGCAGACGUUCGAGUCCCCGACGGACACCCUGGUCGCCGGGCAGGACCUCGUGCCCGCGGCGCAGCUCUUCUCCAGCGUGUCCGACACCAACAAGGCCGUCGGGAAGUACCGGCUCGCCAACCAGCAACACGACGGCAACCUGGUGUUGUACCCGGUGGGCACACCGAACGACGCAGCCUCGUCGUACUGGAACACGGGGACGUUCGAUCUGGGUUUCACACUCACCUUGCGCCUUGAUACCGGUGGCCUGCUCUACCUGGUGAACAACGAUGGCAGCUUUACCAAGAACCUGACACGGCCUGGGGCCUUGAAAGCGGGAGAGCAAGCCUACUACCGACUCACGCUUGAUCCUGAUGGAGUUCUGCGUUUGUAUCGUCAUACCUUCGUGUCUGGCUCUGGCAGUGCGUCCAAUACCACCACCGUCGUGUGGAGCGCUCUGACCGAUCGGUGCGAUGUCCAUGGCGUUUGCGGGCACAACAGCUACUGUGUCCUCGACCAGGAUCGGCCUAGCUGUUUGUGCCCGCCAGGGUUCGAUUUUCUCGACGCGAGCAAUGCGGAGCUCGGUUGCACGGUGAACUCCAGCGCCGGCGACUGUAAAUGGGGGCAGCAACAAGAUGCCGCAGACUUCUCCGUGAAGUUGAUGCCAAACAUGGAGUGGGCGGACGUACCGCACGAGGUGGUGCGCAAUGCCACGAGCGCGGCAGAAUGCAUGGCGGCAUGCAUGGCCGACUGCUUGUGCGUUGCAGUGCUGUGGGACACCGACAAAGGCACGUGCAGUAAGCAGCAGCUCCCUCUGCGGUACGGCCGCGCUGGAGGCAGAUACACGCUGUUCGUCAAGACCGCGGGAGCGGCGACAGGCGGCAGCGGCACCCACAGCAAACCCGUCGGUCGCACGACCAUCAUCGUGCUGGUUUGCAUCGGCAUCCUGGCAUUCGUCGCGUUGUCGGCCUUCAUUGCGGCCGGGUGGCUGCUCCACGUGAAACGGAGGGCCGUGCCCCGGAACGUGGCACCCGCGAACGCGGACGCCGACGGCGGCAAAGGCUUGGAGGAGGAGGAGGCGGCGCCCCUGAGGUCUUACAGUUACCAGGAGCUGGAGCGCGCCACGUACUGCUUCCGUGACCCGGUGGGUCGCGGCGCGUUCGGCACGGUGUUCAAAGGCGCGCUGCGCAACGGCGAGCAGACUAUCGCCGUGAAGCGGCUGGAGAAGCUCGUGGAGGAUGGCGAGCGGGAGUUCCAGAGAGAGGUGCGCGCCAUCGGGCGGACGAGCCACCGCAACCUAGUCCGCCUCCUCGGCUUCUGUCACGAGGGCGCGCACCGCCUCCUGGUGUACGAGUUCAUGAGCAACGGCUCGGUGUCUGACCUGCUCUUCAGGGGUGCUGCCUCGACGCCUCCGUGGUCCGACCGCCUUGGCAUCGCGCUCGACGUGGCCCGGGGCCUGCACUACCUCCAUGACGAGCUCGAUAGCCGCGUGAUCCACUGCGACGUCAAGCCGCAGAACAUCCUCAUAGACGCGGCCGGCACGGCCAAGAUCGCCGACUUCGGGCUCGCCAAACUGCUCCAACCUGACCAGACACGCACUUUCACCGGUGUCCGCGGCACGCGUGGGUACCUGGCCCCGGAGUGGUACAGGGGCACGGGCCCUGUCACGGCGAAGAUUGACGUGUACAGCUACGGCGUGGUGCUGCUCGAGAUCAUGACAUGCAGGAGGAACAUGGAAAUGGAGGAAGCCGGCGAGGAGCAAACCCUGAUGGACCUGGUGUAUGAGUGCCUACUGAAGGGUGAGGUGAAGAGGGCCAUGAAAAGCGAGGAGGACGUCGAUACAGCGGCCGUGGAGCGGGUGGUGAAGGUUGGGCUCUUGUGCGUGCAAGGAGAACCUGAAUCUAGGCCAUCCAUCAAAACCGCCAUCUUAAUGCUGGAAGGACAUCUAGACGUACCAUUUCCUUCGCCUCCGGCUUCUUAG
rnacentral:rRNA from 1 species